ensembl:scaRNA
UGUCUCUUCCUGACCCUGUGUUGCAGGGCACUGUUUCCCUUGCAGCCAGCAGGAGAGACUGAAAGCAACAGCCAGAGGAUAAUCGUCAUGGCUGCCAGGAGCUGCUGGCUGUCAUGUUUUCCUGCCUCUUACAGAA